rnacentral:lncRNA from 1 species
AUGCACUUGGGCCAGGUCCGGCCUGGGGGGAGCACGGCCGCAGCUCGCUGGGGCGCAGCCUCCCCUCCCCGACGCCGCGGACCGCCCGGCCGAGCCUCCGAGCUGGAGCGCGGCGCGGAGCGCAGCCCCCGCCCGGCCGCCGUGGGUGAGCGAGAGCCGCGCGCAGCAGCCGGAGCGGGGCCCGCGGGGCCGGCGCCCCCCCCCAUCGGGCCCUGCCCCCAUUCAGCAGUUAAACUGCUUCCACGCUCCGCUUCCAGCAGCUGCACCCAACGCCCGUCCGUCAGGUGGCUCCUGAGCUGCGCUCACGGGCGAGGCUGCCGGGGCGUCCUAGGAACGGAGCCGGGGGGGCGGGGGGCGGCCGUCUCCCCGUUGCCCGGCAUCGCGGGCUCCCCCGGGGGUCGAACACGGGCUGCUUCUGCCUCCUGCCACCAGGGAAGGGACGGGGAAGCCCUGGCCGCAAGCUGGGCCCCGAGCCAGGGCCCCAGGGCCCCGCGGCCCCGUCUCCUCCUGGGCCUGCGCCCGGUUCGCGGGGACGCCGCGCCGACUGGACUCUGGACGAGACCUUCCCGCCCUUUCCUCUCUCGCAUUUCAUCCGCCGGCACUACCUGCCCCUGCCCGGGCCGCUCUGCCCCCCGUUGGUCUCGGGGGCCGCAGCGUCCCCCGUCCCGCUCUCCGGGUCGCCUUCCAAGCUCAGCUCAGAUGCCAGCUCUUUGGUUUCCCCUCGGGAGGAACCCGUCCCCCUCCCUUCCCUCUGGGACAGCAGCCGCGACCGCUUGCGCUCCGGGCCCCUCCUGGUCCCCGGACUUCCCCCACGUGGGCGCCGCCCCCCAGGUGGGAGCCCGCAGAGCCUCGCGGGGCAGAGGCGACCUGGGGUGUGUGGCGGGCCCACUGCAUUGCUGUGGCUUGGGGACGACUGUGACAGCAACCCCCGUGAGCAGAAAUCCUGCGAAGGGGUCCUCUCAGGGGAUCCCUGAGGGAAUGAAGGCCCAGAGAGGUAAAAUGACUCGUUCAGCACACCCCAAACUGCAUUUACCAUUGUUGAUGGCACCUUCACUCCUUUUCCCAAAUUACCCUACAUUCCAAAGGCCUAUCUGA